rfam:Candidatus Daviesbacteria bacterium RIFCSPHIGHO2_12_FTLL_37_11 rifcsphigho2_12_scaffold_7147, whole genome shotgun sequence.
UACUCAACAUUAAUGCAUACGGUGGAUGCCUAGGUCGAAAGUACCGAUGAAGGACGUACUUGACAACGAUAUUCUGCGUGGAGCUGCCAAGAAGCUUUGAUACGCAGGUUUCCGAAUGGAGUAAUCUGUCCCGAUUUAAUUGGGACACUGUUAACUGAAUUUAUAGGUUAACAGAGGGUACGCGCCGAACUGAAACAUCUAAGUAAGCGCAGGAAUAAAAAGCAAAAGCGAUUCCCCAAGUAGCGGCGAGCGAAACGGGAACAGCCUAAACCAUUCGAUUCGAUUUUGCUUCGCAAAAUCUCACUCAUGGCUAUAGCCAGUAGAGAUUAAAGGGUCACACUGACCCUGAGCGAGGCGAAGCCGAGUCGAAUGGGGUAGCGGGGCGCCAGUAGCGAGUAGUGAAGAUAGUAGAAUCCGCUGGAAAGCGGAGCCAAAGGAAGUGAAAGCCUUGUAUACAAAAUCUAAACUGCCGUGGGCGAUUCCCCAAGUAGCACAGGACACGUGAAAUCCUGUGUGAAUCAGUCCGGACCUCCGGAUAAGGCUAAAUAUACUUUCGGACCGAUAGUGAACUAGUACCGUGAGGGAAAGGUGAAAAGAAGGGCGAAAUGCCCGGUGAAAUAGUACCUGAAACCGUAUGUUGACAAGCAGAGAAAGUCUCGCCGUAAGGCGGACGAUCUCGUGCCUAUUGAAGAAUGAACCGGUGAGUUAUCAUGCAUCCUUGCUUAAGCCAGUAUCUGGUGAAGCCAAAGUGAAAGCGAGGGUUAAUAGCCCGUUUUAAAAGAAUGCGUGAUAGACCCGAAACCGAGUGAGCUAUCCAUGUCCAGGGUGAACCCGCCAGAAAUGGUGUGGGGAGGCCCGAACCCGUUG